rnacentral:rRNA from 1 species
GACGAACGCUGGCGGCGUGCCUAAUACAUGCAAGUAGAACGCUGAAGCGAGGAGCUUGCUCUUCUUGGAUGAGUUUCGAACGGGUGAGUAACGCGUAGGUAACCUGCCUUGUAGCGGGGGAUAACUAUUGGAAACGAUAGCUAAUACCGCAUAACAAUGGAUGACACAUGUCAUUUAUUUGAAAGGGGCAAUUGCUCCACUACAAGAUGGACCUGCGUUGUAUUAGCUAGUAGGUGAGGUAAUGGCUCACCUAGGCGACGAUACAUGGCCGACCUGAGAGGGUGAUAGGCCACACUGGGAAUGAGACAAGGCCAAGACUCCUACGGGAGGCAGCAGUAGGGAAUCGUCGGCAAUGGGGGCAACCAUGACAGAGCAAAGCCGCGUGAGUGAAGAAGGAUUUCGGAUCGUAAAGAUAUGUUGUAAGUCAAGAACGGGGGUGAGAGUGGAAAGUUCACACUGUGACGGUAGCUUACCAGAAAGGGACGGAUAAAUAAGUG